ensembl:snoRNA
CCUUGUCUCAAAAUAUUAGAUGGGCCUUUUGCUAGUGACCCAGUGAGCUGUCAAGAAGGGGCAGAGUAAAAGUACUGCUUUUAGGUGAAGUAUCAACUUGUGUCGUUUUCCUUCAAUCAGUGUCGUGACAAGA